GCGCCCUUAGCUCAACUGGAUAGAGUGUCUGACUACGGAUCAGAAGGUUGGGGGUUCAAAUCCUCCAGGGCGCGCCA
rnacentral:tRNA from 1 species